GUUCCCCCCCCAAUGUCCCCGUCAGCCCCACGGUCACCCUGUACCCCCCGUCCCGGGAGGAAUUCCAAGGUCCCUACCGCAACGCCACCAUCCUGUGCCACGUCCAAGGUCCUCAACGUCCUUCCAUCCAGUGGCUCAAGAAUGGCCACGACCUCCAAGACGUUGCCAUCACCGAGACCUUGGCCAGUGGAGGCCUCUCGGUCACCAACAGCCGCUUGGUGGUCACCGAAGCCGAGUGGGCCUCGGGGGCCAUCUACACGUGCCAAGUGGAUGGGGAGAUGAGGAACAUCAGCAGAGCUCAGGAAUGUGGCUGUGAGUCCACGCUGGGGACGGGGGUUCUGGGGGGCAACCACCCCGCGGGCGUCUCGGUGGGCUUGGCCUUCACUUAUGGGCCUUCAGCUCCAAUCUUCAACGAGAAGGCGGCCAAGCUGAGGUGCCAAGUGCUCAACGUGCCCAGCAUCGAGGGGCUGGACAUCUCCUGGUGGAAGGAAGACGGCACCGAGCUGCCCACCAAGAGGUCCCCCCAUGUCCUGGAGGCCAACGGGCUCUUCAGCGUGGUGGCCGUGGCCAACGUCUGCACCACGGACUGGGACAAGGGCGAGACGUUCACCUGCAGGGUCACCCACCCCGAGCUGCUCUUCCCUGUCGAGGCCACCCUGCAGAAGGCAACCGUGAGCGACGCCAAAGCUCCCUCCGUCUUCAUCUUCCCCCCUCCAUCGGAGCAGCUUUCCAUGCAGGAAUCUGCCACCAUCACAUGCCUGGUGAAGGGCUUCAACCCUCCGGACCUCUUCAUCCAAUGGCUCCGGAACGGGGAGCCCAUUCCCUCCUCCGACUACGUGACGUUGCCGCCGGCGGCCGAAUCCCACCUUCCCGCUUCCAAAUCCCAUCUUCCCACUUCCAAAUCCCGCCUUCCCACUUCCUACUUCACCUACAGCACCUUGACGGUGCCCGGAGAGGAUUGGUCCAGCGGGAAUGUCUUCACGUGCCUGGUAGGACAUGAGAAGAUCCCAAUGCAAGUGGUGCAGAGAUCCGUGGAUAAAGCCUCUGGUAAACCCACCGCCGUCAACGUAUCCCUGGUCCUCUCGGAUAUUGCCAGCUCCUGCUAUUGA